AAACCAGCACCUCAAGUGGUCAGGAGGAUUAUUGGGCCUAAAGCAUCCGUAGCCUGCUCUAUAAGUUUCCGGUUAAAUCCAUUUGCUCAACAAAUGGGCUGCCGGAAAUACUGUAGAGCUAGGGAGUGGGAGAGGUAGACGGUACUCGGGAGGAAGUGGUAAAAUGCUUUGAUCUCUCGAUGACCACCUGUGGCGAAGGCGGUCUACCAGAACACGUCCGACGGUGAGGGAUGAAAGCUGGGGGAGCAAACCGGAUUAGAAACCCCGGUAGUCC
rnacentral:rRNA from 1 species